rnacentral:rRNA from 1 species
AGUGAACGCUGGCGGUAGGCCUAACACAUGCAAGUCGAACGAGUGGCGGACGGGUGAGGAAUGCAUCGGAAUCUACUCUUUCGUGGGGGAUAACGUAGGGAAACUUACGCUAAUACCGCAUACGAAUGAAUGAGCCGAUGCCCGAUUAGCUAGUUGGCGGGGUAAGAGCCCACCAAGGCGACGAUCGGUAGCUGGUCUGAGAGGAUGAUCAGCCACACUGGAACUGAGACACGGUCCAGACUCCUACGGGAGGCAGCAGUGGGGAAUAUUGGACAAUGGGCGCAAGCCUGAUCCAGCCAUACCGCGUGGGUGAAGAAGGCCUUCGGGUUGUAAAGCCCUUUUGUUGGGAAAGCGGUACCCAAAGAAUAAGCACCGGCUAACUUCGUGCCAGCAGCCGCGGUAAUACGAAGGGUGCAAGCGUUACUCGGAAUUACUGGGCGUAAAGCGUGCGUAGGUGGUUGUUUAAGUCUGUCGUGAAAGCCCUGGGCUCAACCUGGGAAUUGCGAUGGAAACUGGGCGACUAGAGUGUGGCAGAGGAUAGUGGAAUUCCUGGUGUAGCAGUGAAAUGCGUAGAGAUC